GGCUCAGGAUGAACGCUAGCGGCAGGCUUAAUACAUGCAAGUCGAGGGGCAGCGGGUGUAGCAAUACAUGCCGGCGACCGGCGCACGGGUGCGUAACGCGUAUGCAACCUACCUUUUACCGGAGGAUAGCCCCGAGAAAUCGGGAUUAAUACUCCAUAAUAUUAUGAGAAGGCAUCUUCUUAUAAUUAAAGCUCAGGCGGUAUUAGAUGGGCAUGCGUGACAUUAGCUAGUUGGUGAGGUGACGGCUCACCAAGGCUACGAUGUCUAGGGGUUCUGAGAGGAUUAUCCCCCACACUGGUACUGAGACACGGACCAGACUCCUACGGGAGGCAGCAGUAAGGAAUAUUGGGCAAUGGACGCAAGUCUGACCCAGCCAUGCCGCGUGAAGGAUGACGGCCCUAUGGGUUGUAAACUUCUUUUGUACGGGAAAAAACCCCUGGUCGUGUACCGGGGCUGAUGGUACCGUAAGAAUAAGCAUUGGCUAACUCCGUGCCAGCAGCCGCGGUAAUACGGAGGAUGCAAGCGUUAUCCGGAUUCAUUGGGUUUAAAGGGUGCGUAGGCGGGAUAAUAAGUCAGUGGUGAAAUCCUGCAGCUUAACUGCAGAACUGCCAUUGAUACUGUUAACCUUGAGUACAUUUGAAGUGGGCGGAAUGUGUCAUGUAGCGGUGAAAUGCUUAGAUAUGACACAGAACUCCGAUAGCGAAGGCAGCUCACUAAACUGUAACUGACGCUGAGGCACGAAAGCGUGGGGAUCAAACAGGAUUAGAUACCCUGGUAGUCCACGCCGUAAACUAUGAUCACUCGAUGUGUGCGAUAUACUGUACGCGUUUGAGCGAAAGCAUUAAGUGGUCCACCUGGGGAG
rnacentral:rRNA from 1 species